rnacentral:rRNA from 1 species
AACGAACGCUGGCGGCAUGCCUAACACAUGCAAGUCGAACGAGACCUUCGGGUCUAGUGGCGCACGGGUGCGUAACACGUGGGAAUUUGCCUCGGGGUAUGGAAUAACUCAGGGAAACUUGAGCUAAUACCAUAUAAUGUCUUCGGACCAAAGAUUUAUCGCCCUGAGAUAAGCCCGCGUAGGAUUAGCUAGUUGGUGGGGUAAAGGCUCACCAAGGCGACGAUCCUUAGCUGGUCUGAGAGGAUGAUCAGCCACACUGGGACUGAGACACGGCCCAGACUCCUACGGGAGGCAGCAGUGGGGAAUAUUGGACAAUGGGCGAAAGACCUGAUCCAGCAAUGCCGCGUGAGUGAUGAAGGCCUUCGGUUCGGUU